rnacentral:lncRNA from 1 species
CUGCAACAUAAGAUUUGCUUUAGGAUGUGCUGAAGCCAAAAACAGCAGAACUGUUCAACUAUCAGUGGACUAGGUCUUCUAUAUGGAACACAAGAGACCGAAAUUUGUUUGAUCAAAACACUAAAUUCUCCAAAGUAACAAAUGAUUCAAGUACAAAUAAAGGAGAACGGAGAACCAGAUUAAUUGUUGUAUAUUCAAUUGUUACAGUUGAUGGUCAGCAUUCUGCAUCAUGAAGCCUAAUUGAAAUUGAAUCAUUUACGAAAUAAUUUUGUAAUAUUGUCACGGGGCUUCCUUCUCAUGAUCCAAGCUUCAUUUUUUAUUAUUUUGGUGAAAAAAACUUUGACUUCCUUGUGUGAUGGAUGAUCUAAUAUUGAUCAAUUAAAAGGGAUAAGAACAUUAAAGCUACACUAUGAGAAUAGCCUUUAAAGCUUAUAGCACCAUAGUUCUUCUUUACUCCAAUAAAAGUAGAUGGCAUCAAUGGUAUAAGGCAUGACAUAGUUGCAGCAAAAUUUUUUGGUCAACCAAAUGCAACUUCCUUAGUGGAUCACCAACAUGUGAUGAAGUAGAUGUAAACUAAAAUGUCUUCACUAUAAUAGACAUGGACAAGUUUUGAGGUGCACAUAUAAGCACAUUCAACAUGAAUGCCAAGUGCCAACCUUCACAAAAUUUGGAUAAAUGAGUUUGUUAAGUUUAAAAAAGUAUUCUCUGGCACAAAACUUUGUGCAUAUUUUUUUAAUGAGUUGUGUUGUUAAACAGUUAAAGAGAACAAUAAAUCUAUGCAAAAUGGUCAUAUGUUUCAACCUAACAAAAUAAAGUUUUAAGAUUCUAAUCUAAGAAUAAAUGCCAGUUCCUAUAGUUCAGGCAAGGGAAUAGAUGAAGUUUUAGUCUUCUAGUCCCUCAUUUCUUCAUAUGUGGCUGGAUGCUUUAUGAAGAAUUCGAUAAUCAAUAUACUAAAAAUCUAUAAUUGGAAGAAAAAUUAGCAUGAGACUAAGACAAGCAUUAAUACAAUUGAAUGAUGACUUACCCAAUUUUGUGCCAACUAAUACCAAUGGGAUGCCAGGGGCAAAAUGCUGGAGUUCAGGGAUCCACUGGACAGUGCAUACAAAUUAGAGAACAAAAGAGAAAUCUGCAAGACAUCAAAAGUACCAAAUUCAGAGAUACAAGCACUGAAGCAUACCUUCUUCAGCACAUUCUCAUAGCUUGCGCGACUAACUAAAGAAAAAGCCAAGACAAAGACAUCUGCCCCCCUGUAGCUCAAGGGCCUCAGCCUGUUGUAAUCCUCUUGCCCUAAGGAAGAUAAUGGAAACAAAUACAACAUAACAACCUUUUUCUUUUGACAAAUAUCAUUCUAUCAGCCAAACCAGAAAACAAUCCCCAUCAUCAUUCAUUUGAACAAAUUUGAUUGAUACGUCCUGUGGUUUAUUGAAAUUGCACUACCUUUUUAAGAUUUACACUUUGCAAUAACUCUUCUUAUGGGGAUACAUGGUGUAAUGUAUUUCAAACAAUUAAGAGAAAUUACUAUAGCGGCUAAAAAGGCAGGAGUAUUGUGUGCUAUCUCAAGAAACCACAUGGGGUGUCACUAUAAUUUGUUUGUAUUUUUUUUAAAAUGUUUGUGUAUAACUGAACACCAACCUUAAAAAAAAACACUAUAACAAGUUUCAUACCAGCUGUAUCCCAAAGGCCUAAAUUGACAGUUAUGCCUUCAACAACCACAUUUGCACUGAAAUUAUCAAACACAGUGGGGAUAUAGUCCUGAUGAUCAACAUAGGGGGAAGCAAAAUCAGAUAAACCCAAUGGUGAAGCUUCACAAGAUAACAACUGGGUUACUUUCUGCACUUAGCACACACAUAAAACAGUUUUCUUUACUCAAAUUAAGAUGAUUUCAACAGAACAGAGAAAAAUUCAGAAAGCACACAUACACACACACACACACAUAGUGGACAUUACAAAACAAAAAUAACAUCAAACGAUGGCAAUUCAAUAAAAAAAUGAUCUCUUGAAAACAAAAGAUGUGGAAGAAAGCAUCCACACCGUGGGGAAUUUGUUGCUGGUAUAGCAAAUGAGCAUGCAGGUCUUCCCUACAGCUCCAUCGCCAACGGUCACACACUUGAUGAAUCUUGGGGCAGUUGCAGCAGCCAUUGGAACAAGAAGAAAAGAAGAAACUUUCUCAGAAUAAUUUAAGCAAAACAAAACAGAAGUGGGGUUGUUUUGUUGUGUGUUGGAUUGUUAAAGAUUGAAGCUUUUUUUUGAUUGAACCAGAGACAGAUAGAGAGAGAAAGAGAGAGAGAGUGGCGGCACUUCACAUGAUUCUCACUCAUUCCCUCUUUUUUGUACCGGCCAAUUAUUUUUUUCCUUUUUAAUAUUAGUCUUUGCAAAUGCAAUAGUUUCCAACUCUGCAUUAAAAAAUGGAACUGGGUAUUUAAUUGGAUAAUAACAUGCGAAAAUACUUUUUCUACACUAUAAUGCAGAUUAAUUAAGAUUAGUUUGAAUACAAAUUAUUCUAGUUAUAUAUUACGAUUUAAAUGUAUGAAAUUUUAAGAAAAACGAACACUAACAUAUAUAUACACUAUCGCAAUUUUACUUCCUUUUGAAGUAGUACAUAUUUCCAAAUUGGAAGAAGUUUUUUUCUGAAAUUUAUAACUGGCUCUUUUAAUGAUAAGUUAUAGCAAACUCGUACAUCACAUGACUCGUAUGUAUUUAUUAACACAUAAGUGCCUUUCAUUACACAUUUUAUAUUUUUUUUAUAAAUUUUAAAAAAUUGAAAUAUAAAUUUUGUUUUAUUAUUAUAACUUUAUAAUAGGUGCAUUUAGAUCACUUUUAAACAAAGAUUAAAUUUAAAGGAAUGUCUUAAGUAUUAAUAAACAUUUACAAGUCACGUGAUUGGUUUUGAUUUGUUCAUAGACAAAAAUGAUAGAUGUGGAAAAAAAUAAGUGAAAAAGGAAAACAAUAGUUGUUAUGAACCGUCUUUAACGUUUGUGAAUAACUUCCUUACGUUUUGCAUUAAAAAAAAAAAAAAAACUUUCUUACGUUGGUGUUUGAUUAUUUUAAAUUAGGGAGAUUUUAAAAAAUGAAUAAUGGAUUAGGUUCAGUAGUUUUAAACUCAUAUUGAGUGUUGAGGAUGACAAUUAUUUGUAUAUAUAUAUAUAUAUAUAUAUAUAUGUGUGUAUAUUCAUUUUUUCAAAAUAAAAUUUCAGUUCAACUAUUGUAUAUAUAGAGAAAAAUUCUUGCUGCAAGAAUUAACUCAAAUAUGUUGUAGAUAUUUUUUUUUUCUAUUUUAAUAUAAUUAUUUCUUAUAAAGGAUGUAAGUUGUCUUCGAUAAAAUUUAUCAAUUACCUUUAAUGUUGUUCUUGAAAUUUUAUUCAACUUAUUUAAUUAAAUUGUUUUGCGAAGGAUUUUAUGUUAUCAUAGUAAGUUUGUAGCAGAAAAAAGGUAUUUUGUAUCAAAUAACUAGUGACGAAAUAAUUAUUGUUUUAAAAUAAAAAAUAGUAAAAAAUAAAAAUUAUACUAUAUUUUUAUUAUCUUCUUUUAGAAUUAGUAUUCGGUGUGAAGUUGGUGCAUUUAUUAUUCAUACGCGGCAUGGGCCCAUGAUAAGAGUGUUUGGUGGUCCAACCCGCUUCAAGUCCUCAACAGCGUUGGAUUGGAGGUAACAUACGUCCUUGCAUUUAUUAUUACUAUUAUUAUAACUAUGAACUAUCAAUUUAUUAUUAUUUUAUUUAAUUUUAUUCUGUAUUUAAUUAUUAAUUAGAAAUCACUAUAAAUAUUAAGUUUUAAAUUAAUUAUUAUUACAAAAAUAAUAAUCUUAUCAUAUGUCAUUUACUUAUGAAUUAAUGCUUUUUAAUUAAUUAAUUUGACAUGCUUGGUUGCGUUUUUGUGUUUGAAUCUUGCAUAAAUUAUUACGGGCCUAUUCUUUUAAAACAAAUAUGAUAGGUACAUAUGAAAAAAAUUAACAAGAGGUUUUUACAUUGGCAAUCACAUCUUUUUAGGAAAAAUAUUUUUCUAAUCAAUUAAAUAUCUUUAUUCUGUAUAAAAAUUUAGUAGGGUUAAUUAAAAAUAUAUUUUAAAUAAAAGUAUGAUGUAAAAAUAAUUUUCUAUAAUUGAUUUGCCUAGGUCAUAGACCACGAAUGUCCACCAACUCACUAGAUUAGGUACUAAUUCUGCUUACGAUGCAUGAUUGUCGUUGGUUCAAGAGAAUUUUACAUACCAUGAAUAUUGAAUAUGAGUUUUUCCACUAAAUAAAUUGUUCCUACUCAUAUGAACCCAGUGAAACCUUACAUUACUGUGCCAAUCCUUUAGGUUUUUUAUAAUUGAUACUGAAAAAUUAAUUUAGGGGGGUGUAUUGGAUUAAGAUUUCAAAGGAUUUUAAAAGACUUUUUUAUGAUUAAAAAGUCUUGUGGUAUUCAAUCAAGACUUUUAUAAAAUAUAAACAAAUCUUGUGGUAUUCAAUUAAGACAAUAAAGAUUUUUUUUUCAGGGCAACAAAAUCUGUUGGUAUUCAAUUGAGAUUUCUUACCACUUUUAAAAUGUCUUUUGGUAUUCAAAAGUAAAUAGAUUUUGAUGGAUUCUUUUGUGGAAUGGAUUUUGAGAGACUUUUUAGUUAGAAAUACACAUAAAAUACUCCUCCAACAAUCUCACCCAAACCCUUGAGACUUUUCAUAAUCUUCCAAAGACUUUUUCUUCUCCUGCCGAACAAGACACAAACCACUACCAGGUUCAUUCUCUUACAACUUUUCAAUCAAUUUUACCUAUUUUUUUAAUGGCAAUCGAUAGUCAAUAUUGUUCAUACUAUAUGUAUAUUACGCAAAUCAAAAGAAAAGGGUGCUGCAUAUGCUCCAAUACACCCCCCUCCCCUCUAUUUCUUGAAAAAUUAUUUGAAUUAUAUAAAAAUUGUUUUGUAAUAAAUUUACACACACAUAUAUUGAACACUUUAUUGAUAUUUUUUUAUCACAUCAUAUCAUUUAUUGUACUUAUAUUUUUUCUUCUUUUUUCUUUUUUUAAAUAACAUUGUGAUUUCCAAUAAUUAUUUUUUGUAGAACUUUAUUUUUUAUAUCUAAGUGUCUAGUAGAAGGCGUGUACAAUAUAUUUCCUAAGUUUAACCUUUAAAACUUUUUUUUUUAAUAAUUGUCCGAAGUGAAACAAAUGGGCAAACUUUGGAGCUCUUAGAAUAGACUGCAAUACUCCACAUGCCGUGACAUAACUUAGGGAAUUAUUAUGCACACCCCAACUUAUUGUUUAGAUCACGCCCUUUAAUUGAAAAGUCCAAAAUAUCAUUUCCUCUUUUGUACUAAACCAGUUAUCAAGCACCUCUCCUUUGUAUUCUUCUUCAUCUUCAUGCACCUGUUCUCCUAAAAUCAAUGAUCAUCCUUGAUCCUCUACUUGUGUUUCUCCUCGUAGUGGCACCCCUUUCUCUUCGGUCAUGGCGAGUUAUGUCAAUUCCAUAUUGCUAAAAAUGUUAGAGCAAUACGGGAUUUAUGUGAGUCUCAUGGAGGAAUGGGGCAACAUCUUGGAUGCUUGGUUAUGAGUUUAUAUCUUCUUCUAAUGAGUUUGCGUAUGACCAACCAUUGGACGAAUUUGAAGAUAUUUGCUCACAUUUUCCUUUAUUCAUUGAUUAUUUGAAGAAUACAUGAUUAUACCACAUUAGGAGAAUUUGUUAUGACAUGGAUAUAUCAAGUGAUGCACCUUGGAAAUACAACAACAAAUAGAUUUAUUUUUGUUUGCAUAUUAAUUUGACCUUAAGAAAUAAUUUCAAAGUAUUUAUUGUGAUUUCAAUGUACAAUUGAGAGAUAGCAUAAGAAACUUGUGUAGUUAUUGUGAUUUCAAUGUACAACAUGAUCAAAUUGAAAGGAUUUGUGUAACUAGGAGAAAUUUCUGUUGUGAAAAGAAACUCUUAUACUUAAUAGAAAAUUGUUUUUGUUGUGUAUUUCAUCUAGAUACACAAUGAAAACAUAUUUAUGUUGUGUGCACUUACUCACAAAACAAAUUACUUUCGUAAGAAAAAAUAAUACUAACAUGGCGGGGGUUUAAAUAGAAAUAAGGGAGUGCAACAACCCCACAACUUAUUAUUCUUUUUUUAAAUUGUGCACUUUCUAGAUUGUUUUGGGCCUUCUUGUUUUUAUUUGGGUUUGCUAGCUAGGCUAUUGCAUCUUGCACCUCCCAUUGCAUUCCAAAAAUCUCAUUUUAGAAUAGAAAUUACCAUUUUGAAUGGGCUUUUCAAAAUGCAAUGUGAAGUACAAGAUACAAUAGUAGGAGUGCAGAAAACAAAUGUUAGGUUGCUAUAGCCCCUAUAGAUUUGCUAUUGGCUCCUACCACCAUUCAAUUUUUUUAACAAAACCCUUUCUUGCAUUGCAAAAUGGAAUCGCGAUUCCAUUGUACAUCGUUCAACAAAAUUGUGAUUUUGUUAUACAUUUUUUUUGCACCCCCAAAGUGCAACAAAAUUCUGUUGGGUGGAAAAUAUGCACAACAUAAUCACGAUCCAUUGUGCAAGUGGGGGUCAAUAAAGCAUGAACAAAGGAAGUAUGAUUCCGUUGCACAGCGUAUAAUAGAAUCAUACUUUUGUUGGGCCUUUUGUUUUCUUGAAAAAAUAUAUAACAGAAUCACAAUUCUAUUGUAUAUUUUUUAUUUUGGUUUUUUAAUGUUUUGACAAAUAGGUAUCACAGAUGAAAAUAACUUAUGUAUUAAAUCAAAUUUCAUAGAAGUUUCUUUUACAUAUUGAGAUACGCAUCCAUAAAAUUAAUUGGAUAUACAUUCAACAUUUAAAAUUAUUUUAAUCCAUAGAAAUGUGUACUACAUAUUGAGAUCCUUUACUUGAAUGAAAUUGUAUUGAGUUGAAAGCUUGCAUGCGUUUCAUGUAAGGCUUUUGUCACAAAUGGGUUUUGGGUGUGAAGUAUCUUUUUUACUGUGGUAAAACAAGAGGAAAUGAACAAUUAUCUUUUAAAAAAAAGUUAUAUUAUCAUAGAAAAGAUGAACUGAGCGAAUAAAUCAAUAUUAGCUUACAAAAGUAAAUGAUAUCUUUAGUGAAUAAUACAUACAUGCACAAAGUAAUUUCCAUUGACAAAUCCAAUUGUAACGAGACAAGGAGCAGAUGGUGUGGGAUUCCUAAUUAAGUGGAAAGAAGGUUCAACUUUGCAGCCUAGAUAAGUGGGCCAAUGCAACAUUAUACCGCUAAUAAUGACAUAACCCAUGUCAGGAAUGGUCAUCCACUUCGCAGUGGGUAUUGAACCACUUUCAACAUACAAGAGGUUAUUAAUUUCAAUAGUCUUUCUUCUGAGCCAAGUAAUUCAACAUAGAGAAGGUGUCAUAUUUGAAGUUCUCAAAUCAAAUCUUGGCAACGAGAGACCAAGAGUCCCUACCUUGGCUUAACAAAGCUGCAAUUAUCUUGUAAUUACAAUUUCCAUUCGGUGUGACAUCAACAAUGUUUAGAAUGUAUUGUUGCAACUCAUUAGAAAAUCCAUUCACAUAAUGAUCCAUUUUUGUCUUCUUGUUUUCAUGGCCAACUUGUGAGCCACACUUAGAGUUCUCGAACUACCAAUCAUCGUGUUCAUUUCAUCAACGUGCUCCCACAUUGAAGGUUCACGUUUGAUAUAUUUCACAAACUUCGAUGCACCUUUUUUAGAGUUCCUGAACUACCAAUCAUCGUGUUUAUUUCAUCAACGUGCUCCCACAUUGAAGGUUCACGUUUGAUAGAGAUCACAAACUUCGAUGCACCUUUUUUUUUUACUUUCUCUUGAGGGGGACACAUUGAAGUGGUAUUUGAAAAUGUAAAUUCACAGAAUUUAAUCUUUAAGGUCAUUUUACCACACACGUAUAGUUGUGAAAAUAUCUUAAACAAAGCAUCGACCUUAUGUGUCAGGGUUAAGUCCCCCUAAGAGUCACCCUUAUUUUAUAAACUAUGAAUGGAUAACAUCUUCCAAUGUACAUGGAUGCACUUCAAGGGAAUAAAGCCAUAUAUACUGAUAAAUUCAACAAGUUCACAAGCACAUGGUAGACCUGAGUAACUUUAAGUGUGUAGCCACAAGCAUAAUUGUCAAUACCUAUAGUGUCAACCUGUUGCAACUCAUGGAAAAUGAUGUCUUAUGCUUCUCUUUAUACAUAGAUGCACAAAUUCUUAUAUAUUAGGGUAUCAAACCUAUGCUUAACCAUAUUUAUGUUUUUCUGAAGCAAAGCUUUAAUUGUCAUACGUUGCAAGACAAACAUCUUAUUCAUUGCAUCCCAACAACUACACAAAUCUCUUAUGCUAUCUCAAAGCAACUGCUUCAAUCUCGCAUGUAUGCCUUCAACCCUAAUAUGCAACAAAAAUGAAAUGUAAGAAAUUAUGCAAUUAACAAAAUGAAAUGUUAAAAAUGGCUAAUUUCAAUGAAUUUAUCUACCUAUUUGUUGUUGUGUUGCCAAGAUACAUGACCCAAUAAACCCAUGCUUGUACAAACUUCUCCUUAAAAGGCAUAAACCAUGCGUUUUGGACAUACUCUACAAAUACUUUAUAACAUAUGCACUUGUUUGUAAAGCUUUUCAAGCGUUCGUUAUAUGAUUUUUCAUCUGGAGAUUGGAGCAAUAGCUCCUAAGCAUCCAUUUCAUUUUGCCACUCUCUAGCCUUAUCCAAAUGGAUUUUUCAUUUUGUGCUGACAUUUUUUGUAAUAAAAUAAACAUAAAAAGUUGGUUGAAGAAGGAAGCACAGUCUCCAAUGCAUUAAAUGAAAGCAAGAUCCCUAUAACUGACAAAAAGCUGAAGCAACAAAGCAUUUUUCUUACACAAUCCUUUCACCUUACUUAAAGCCCAUUCAAAAUUAUCUACUUUCUCAUAAAUUAAAUAAACAAAGGCAAUAACAAAAGUCAUGUUUUUUUUGAAGUGAUAUCAACAAUUUCUAACAAUGGAAGAUGAUAUCUAUUUGACUUGUAAGUCGUAUCGCCAAUCAUUAUUGUUGGGAAUGAAUUUAGGAGUUUGAUGGAAUCUAAAUGUGUCCAUAAUGUAUCUUUGUCGACAUCUUCAUUGUCUAAUUGUCUAAACUAGGUAUGAUAAUCGGUAGGGUUUUAGGUAGGGUCCUAUAGUACUCGUCCCCAUACUCAUGUUCUGAAAAAAUCCCCAUAGUCGGCCCUAUACAUGCUGAGGUAGCAACUUUAAUCCUCAUACCCAUUGGGUACCUAUAUACCUAUACCUGUACCCGAGACCCACACUUUACUUAUGAUAUAAAGUUAAUAAAUCAAUAUAAAAAUUAAUCAAAAAAAUUACUAAAAAUUCAAAAUGCAUUCUUAAAUUUAAAAAAUAAAACAUUAAGAACAUGUUCACACAAUAUUAAAAACAAAUAAGCAUAGCACUGAUUCAUCAAAACUCAAGUCAUAAAUAAACAACAUUACAAAUAUAAUAAUCCAACAUAACAUGAUUCUUAAAGUUAAUGCUUUAUUUGCUUAACAAAAACACUAAUUAAACUUGGACAUCAUGUGGUGAUAAUACUCUCCAAGACUAGUAAAAAAAUAGUAAAACUAAUUAGCUCAUAAUUAUAUAUUAUAAAUUAAAAAAACACAAACAAAUAGGAUAUUUGACCUCAUCAUAAAAAUCAACUUCUCCAUAUUUUUGUAAGAACCUAUCUCCAAAUUCUAUAUAUUGCUUUGAUCCCCCAAUACCAAUAGAAACUAGAACAUGACAAAAAGACAAAUGCAUUAGACCUAUCACAAAUGUUAAAUAAAACUAUCAAUAGAAGACAAAACAACAAUUGAAUAAACAAAAGAAUGUAAUUUUUAUUACCUUGUUGCUUAUGUUUCAUUUAGCUUUGUGCACACAUAAGUGCCUCCAAAGUAAACUCAUGAAGCCUAGAACGAUGAGGACUCAAUAACCUACCUCCCAUGUUGAAAGUAGAUUCUAAAGCAACAAUUGAAAUUAUAUUGUCAAAACAUCCUUAGUAGUUUUCUGCAUAAUUGGAUAUUUGAUCCCAUUUGUUUUCCACCAUCAAAGAAUGUCAAAAUUAGCACUCAUAAGCAAACCUUUCUCAUCCAAGUAGAGAUCUAGUUCAUACAUUGUUUGUAUCUUAAUUGUUUUAUUCUCAAAUGAGUCAUAGUCACUAAGGAAAUUGCUAACUUCUAGAUUAUCCAAGUUUGACUCAAUAUCAUUUUCAUGUGAAGUUGAAUUUUCCAUUAUUCCCUUUGUCUUAAUAUGGUACUCUUCAAAUAAUGAGUAACACAACUUCCUGAUAUUGUUCAUUUCAAUUGAAGAUGAACUUCCAUAAAGCUUAGAGAAAAAGUACUCCAAUAACUUAAAUUUGUAUCUUGGAUUUAAAAUAAUAACAAUUCCUAUAAUUCCAUGAAUAACAUACCAAUAUUUCUCAAAUUUGGCAACCACUUUUGAAGCCAUAUUUUUAAUAGCUACAAUUGGACAAAUUUGCCACUGCUACAAAGAGAGCUAAAUUUGUUUUGUCAAAGGGAAGGAUGCCUUGGUUGUUUGAUAUAGUGUCCCAGAAAACAUUUCAGUUACACGAUUAAAAACUUCCAACCUACUACAUAUCUCUCUUGCAAUUUCUCACUCAUCUAAUGUAGGCAAGCAUGUAUAUAACUAUUAUCUUGUUUUCAAACAAUUAAAACACCUUUGUAAGCCAAUGCAACAACAAGCAUGUGAUAAGUGGAAUUCCAUCUAGUUUUGCAUUGAAGAAUGAGUUUCUUUGUGACAGAAACUUUGAUUUGACGUUCCCUAAAGGUUUUGUUGGUUCUAGUUAUAAAUUUUGCUACUCUUAAUCUGCACAAGAUCAAAAAACAAGAAAAACACAGAAAACACAGCAAAGCAAUACACAACAGAGCAAGAACCCAAAGAUUUACGUGGUUCGAUAAUGUGCCUACAUCCACGGGAAAACGCAGCUCAUCAUCAUCACAUAGAUCAUGAAAUUACAAGUUCAAUACAAGCAGCAGCUAGCUUUGAUCUCUCUUGGUUUCUCUUUCAACAAAACCUCUCUCAAUCACCUAGCUCACUACCUCCCUUUUUGAACUCUCUGAUUUCUGCAGUUUUUCAGCUUCUCUAUUUUUCAGCCACUCUCAUAAAAAAAACCACACACUGCAUUACAUGAUCAAGAAUAUAUAUGUACACUCUAGCUAUGCUUUGGUGCCAAAACCAAUUCAGUUAUAAUAACUGAAAAAAGUUAUGACAACACCAAUUUAAAGUCUUUUCACUUGUGCCAUUUGUGAUUUUGAGUCACACACCACAAAUCUCCACCUUGACUCUAAAUCAACAAGUGUCUACCUUGUGAUUCAGGGCUGCACUUCUACCAAUCUGCUUUAGGCAUCUUCAAAAUUUAUCAAAUCCAAGAAGUGCUUGAACUUGACACUAGAGAGGGACUUUGUGAACAUAUCAGCCGGGUUUUCUUCUAUUGAAACCUUCUCCACCUUCACCUUCUUAGAUUCAAUCACAUCUCUGAUGAAGUGUAGUUUCACAUCUAUGUGUUUUGUCCUCUCAUGGUACAUUUGGUGAUUUGCUAAGUGAAUGGCACUUUGACUGUCACAAUGAAUUGUGACACAAGUUUGUGCUAUUCCAAGUUCAUUAAUCAUACCUUUAAGCUAGAUUGCUUCCUUCACUCCUUCAACUAGGGCCAUGUAUUCUGCUUCAGUUGUUGAAAGAGCAACAACUGAUUGUUGAUUUGAUUUCCAACUGAUUGUUGUCCCAAACAAAGUAAACACAUAUCCUAUUAAGGACUUCCUUGUGUCUACAUUUCCUGCAAAAUCUGCAUCUACAUAGCCUGUGACUACUGCCUCGUGUGCUGUCUUCUUGUACCUUAAACCAGUUUUCAAAGAUCCAUUUAGAUACCUUAGUGUCCACUUCACAGCUUCCCAAUGUGCGCUGCCAGGAUCUCCCAUGAAUCUGCUUAUAAUACUUACAGCAUGAGCUAAGUCAGGUCUGCUGCAAACCAUUCCAUACAUUAUGCUUCCAACACCACUAGCAUAGGGUGUUUGAUCCAUUUUAGAACUUUCUUAAGCUGUUUCUGGUGCUUGAAUAACAUAUAGCUUUGUAUGAUGACCAAGUGGUGUGCUAACAGGUUUGCUUUGAUGCAUCCUAAACCUUUCCACCACUUUCUUGAGGUAGUUGCUUUGGGACAAGAAUAGUUCACCCUUUGCCCUGUCCCUAUGAAUAUCAAUUCCGAGUAUCCUUCUAGCUGACCCUUUGCCCUGUCCCUAUGAAUAUCAAUUCCGAGUAUCUUUCAUCUCAAAUUUUGUGUUCAAGCUUUCUUUGAGUAUCCUAAUCUCUUCCUUAUCCGCAGUUGCAAUGAGGAUGUCAUCCACAUACAAGAGAAGAUAAAGAACACACACUUUCCCCUUUUUCAGGAUAUAUACACAACUGUCAUAUCUGUUUCUAAUGAAGUCAUAUCUGAUCAAGAACUCAUCAAAUUUGAGAUACCACAUUCGAGGGCUUUGCUUCAGUCCAUACAAAUAUUUUUUCAGCAAGCACACCUUGUUCUCCCCUUCUUCAAAACCUUCCGGCUGGUUCAUGUAAAUGGUUUCCUUUAGAUUUCCAUGGAGAAAAGCUGUUUUAACAUCUAGCUGUUCAAGUUCCAAAUCAUACUAAUUUACCAGACCAAGUAUGAUUCUAAUUGAGCAAUGCUUCACAACUGGUGAAAAAAUCUCAUUGUAAUCAAUUCCUUCAACCUGUGUAAAGCCUUUUGCUACCAAUCUUGCCUUGAAUCUAGGCCUUUCUACUCCUGGAAUGCCUUCUUUCUUCUUGAAGAUCCACUUACAUCCAACAGCCUUCUGCUUCUUGGGUUGAUCCACAAGUAUCCAGGUAUUGUUCUUUCUCAAAGAUUCCAUUUCUUCACUCAUUGCCUGAAGCCACAGCUGGCUGUCUUCACUUUCAAUUGCUUCCCUCUAGGUCUUAGGUUCUGAAUUUUGAAUCUCCUCAACAACACUGAAGGCAUAGCAAAUAAUAUCAGCAUGACCAUACCUCCUUGGAGGCUUUAUCACCCUUUUUUCUCUAUCUCUAGUCAAUUGAUAAUUGGACAAGUCAUGCUGAGUAACCAACUCUUCAUUAUCUCUAGCUUCUCCUUGAUUAGUGUGAUCAAUAACAUUUCCACUAUCAUGAUCUGAAAUCUCAGAAUGCUCCAUCUCAAAAUUGGUAUUCUCACUACUUGAGCUGUUAUCCUUCUUCUCCUUACUCAGCAUUACCAUUUUGCUCUCAUAAAAGGUUACAUCCCUGCUGAUGAUGCAUCCUGUCAUCAGCUCUUGUUCUUCUUUCAAGUCAAACGCUUCGAGGAUUGCAAUUUGAGGACUUGCUUGGUGCCCCUGCUGAAUUGAUUAGGAGGGGAAAGCAUGGAAGCCUCUACAAGGUUAUGCUCGAUAAUGGGGUGCUGUUGGCAGUGAAGAGGAUCAAGGAUUGGGGGAUUUCCAAGCAAGAUUUUGAGAGAAGGAUGAAUUUGAUAGCCCAAGUGAAGCAUCCACGCGUAUUGCCACCCGUUGCAUACUAUUGCUCUCAGCAAGAGAAGCUCCUAGCAUAUAAAUAUCUGCAGAAUGGUAGUCUCUUCAUGUUGCUCUAUGGUAAGUUGUAAGCAAAGUAAGGUGUCAUUACAUUCAUUUGAUAUGGAAAGUAGUUAAUAAGCUAUGGUACUUUGUUUGACAUACUAAUGCAUAUCACAUAAGUAGUCACUGCUAAACGGAAGAACUAUUAAACUAGGAAAAAGGUGUCUUACUACCUAUGAUAAUGAGAACACAAAUUUGCUUACCAUCUAAAUGAUAUUUUCUAAUACAUUACUAAUAAUUAGUUUUCCUAAUAUGACACUUAUUUUCUUUUGGCCAAAACUUCGAUGUAGUUCUUUAGAUACUUCUGGUGUUGUUUUCCAAUCAAAAUUAAAAUUUUCAUCUCUAUAAUCACCGUAGUAAAAGUUUGUAUUAAAAGUCAACAUAUAUUAUAGAGAUGAAACUCUUUAGGACUUGUAUAUAAGUUUUUCCUUUCCUUUUAUGGGAUAUCUCUAGGUCUUCAAUUUGAAUUUUUUAAGGCCCAAGAGCAGUUUUCAGUGGAACUAGGGUCUGCAAUGAAAUGUAGCCUAGAAAGAAUAAAUCUAACCAUAUGUUUGUCUUCACUUUUAAUGGUUUUAGGAUCUCAAAGUGGCCACUCUUUUGACUGGGGAAGCAGACUAAAUGUUGCUGCUAAGAUAGCUGAGGCUUUGGCAUAUGUGCAUGAGGAGUUUCUUGAGAAUGGAAUAGCACAUGGUAACUUAAAGUCAAGUAACAUUCUGUUUGUCCAUUCUCACAACAAAGGUCUCAAAAGCAAAGAUCUAAUUGCAUCCAUCUUCAAAGCUGAUGUACAUGCCUUUGGUUCGAUACUUCUCGAGCUGCUGACAGGGAAAGUAAUUAAAAAUGAUGGAUUUGAUCUAGUCAAAUGGGUGAAUUCAGUGGUCAGAGAGGAAUGGACUUUUGAAGUUUUCGACAAGUCCCUAAUCUCACGAGGUGCUUCUGAAGAGAGAAUGAUGAGUUUGUUGCAGGUAGCACUAAAAUGCGUUAAUCCUUCUCCCAAUGAUAGGCCAAGUAUGAGCCAAGUUGCAGAGAUGACAAAUUCUUUGAUAGAGGAGGAAGAAAAAUCCAUAUCCUUUGACACAUGACCCAAAGUUUAGUUAUAUACUUCUACGCAUCAGAUUAAAAAAUAAAAUAAAACAACUUCUUUCAGGAAGCAUGUAUUAAUCCAAACUACUCUAAUUUUAGUUUAGUUUCGUGCAAAUCACGAUCAGAACACAUGAAAAUGGUAAAUUAUCUGGAGAUUGGUUGUAACUUGUAAUUUCAAUUAGCAAGAGUAUCUUUUCUUCUAGAGUAUAGGCAGCUUUUACAUUUCUAGACCUUAUCUAUCAUUACUGUUCUGCAUAACCGCAUCUCUGCAAUGAAAUUUGUGAUUUUUUUUUAACAUAAUUCCAUGUCUCACAUACCGAGCCAAGCUGCAUGUUACUUCAACAUUUAUUAUGCUAACAACAUGAUCUUACAAAGUUACUUUAUUUAUGGGCAAAACCAGCGACUACAAUUACAGAGGUAAAAAAAACAAGCAAAAUUUAGAACUCAAGCAAGCUCUAAACUAUUGAAUGCAAAGUGGCUUGCAAAUAUUGAAUGCAAGAAAGAAAACACCCGUUAGGAAUCAUUUGCAUGUUGGGGGAGAUAAUGCAUGUUUGGUUUGAAUUGUGUAACGCGGUUAUUCAUGUCAAAUUGGAAGCAGCUCUUUACAAUUUUCACAUUUUAGUGAAACUGGGACCGGUCUUAGUUGAGUAAUUCGGGAGUCUUGACAUUGUUUGGGCUCAAGGUUUAAUAAUAGAUAAGGGUCCUUUAUAUAAAAACUUAAAUAUAUUUUUAAUCUCCGAUAUUUAAAUUUAUUUUUUUUUUCUUCUUCUUAAUUUUUAAAAAUUGAUAUUCUAAGAUCUCUUACCAUAAAAAUCAUCACAAAUUGUACAUUUAAACAAUAAAAAAAUUAAUCAAGAUAGACUAAAAAAAACAUUCUUUAAAUUUGAGAGACUAAAUAAAUUUAAAUUUAGGAGGCAAAAUACAACAAUGACCUAAAUUUAAAUGAUAAAAACCAUUUAAGCCUAUUGUAAAAUAUGAGGUAGGUUUCGAAGUAUCUAACAACUGAAAAAAGUCAUAAAGAGAUAUAAAUGUAUAUUUGAUUCUUAAAUCUUUAUUGACUUGAAAAUUGUAAACGAAAUGAGUUAAUUUGAUUUCUAAUCUAGAAUUACAGUUAAAUAAUAUUUGUGACUUUUCUCCCCCCGAGAUAAACUUUUCUCCCCCCGAGUCAGCCCUUCUAUAGAAUGAGUCAUCAACUCAUCAUUUACGCAUAACUAAAGAAAACAAAGCAGAAGGGGAGAUGUUGCAACUGGUUCAGAAUACUAAUUUUCACGUGCAAUACAUAUGUGGUUAGGCUAUGAUGAAUUGCAGUGGAGGCUUUGAUAAACAUAAAUUGAGCUCUGAAUGAUUCACAUGGAAUCUUGAACAGCUGGGAUGAGUCCUCUGUCGACACUUUGAAUUGGGCAAUGAUCACUUGCUCUUCUGAUUACCUUGGCAUAGGCCUAUUAGUUCCUCUCUCUCUUUUCCUGCUUUUCCUUUCUCACAGCUUCCUCACUUGUUUUUGUUUUACUUUUUGUCUGUGCAGAGGAGUGCCUAGCCAAUUUCUCUCUGGAAGUAUUUUGUUAUGUUUUAUGUGUUGUGGACUGUGGAGUGUUCUCAUAGCGGUUUGGUGGUUGAAUUAAUGCAGGAUGCAGCAGAACAACAAUAUCUCAGGCAAUACACUACCGUAUCAUGGAGCCCUUCUCAAGUUUCAGACUUUAGACCUUUCCCAUAACUGAUUUUCUUGAGUGAUUCUUGCCUGUCAAUUGAAUAGUUUCUAUUACCUGUGAGUGUCUUGAAAAUUGAAACAACUUACCAAUUGUAUAUUUCUAACUAGUGUUAUAUUAUUUCAAAGUUUCAAUUGUGCUUUUUUUGUCUUGAUUCAGUUUUACUUCUGUUUGCUACAGAGAAAUGUUAGGGAUCACAUUCUCUAACACAUUCUUUCAAAUACAAUUUUUCAUUGGUUAAAAUUUAUCGAAAACCACAAAAUUAAGUGGAUUCAGAAUCUUAUUUAAUGGCUCUCUCUUUUAAUUUUAUAAUUUUCAAUAUAUUUUAACCAAUAAAAAAUUGUAGGAAUAAAUAUGUUGAAGAGUAUAUUGCUAGCAUUCAUGUGCUCUAGAUCAUGAGAAGGUACAUCCUUCUAUCUCCAACUCCCUAGUUCCUCGUGUUUUCUUCAUACAACAUUUUUAUUUAAAACACAAGUCCAAAAGGCUAGCAAUAACACUUGUAGUUAGUCAUAGUUGUGCUUCCCUCAUCCUUCUGUUUUUUUUUUGGGGGGCUAUUUUGGUAUAGAAAGAAACAAUGACUUAGAUAAAAGGAUCUCAACUUGUUGACUCUUGUAUCUUAUUUAUUUGGCAGUUUACUAACUAACGCUAGAAAUGUGAGAGUCAGAUUAAAGGAUCCACUUCAUGUAAUCUUGGUUAAUGGGUGUUCUUCAAACAUGUUUAUUAAUUUAUUGAUGGGUGGGCUAUUCACAUUAACUUAUGCUUAAUACAAGAUCAGGGGAAGCUGAAGAAAAUAGCUCUGAUUCGCGUUCCAACGAUGCCUUCUUACAUCCAUAGAUGUACAAGUAUAAUAUUGGUGGAAAUUCUCAAACAUGUAAGUCAAAUGUUUUCAAUGAAGUUACUUAUAUUGGAGAGACUUCCUUAGUAAUUAUCGUCCAAGACUCAGCAGUUGGUAUCAAUUCAAAUGGAGAUGUACAUGGCUUAUGGGAAAUUCGAUUUUAAACGCACCCUUUUGAUUGGUGGAAUGUAUUCUCUUUUCAUUUAUUUAAACACAUCCUUUUUAUGUAUAUUAAGUCUUAAGAAGCAUGAGGCAGUGUGUUGAAAUUUUUGAAAGAAUAUCAUAUUGCUCAGUAUAAACCACAUAGAUUUGCAUGUGUGAUAAUAGAGGGUAAUGAAUAGUAAAUUUAAUAUACUACUAAUAUUAAGAAAUUAAGUAACCAAAAUUAAACAACAAUGGCAUAAAAUAAAGGAGGAAAGAAAGAUACUUUUUGGUUUUGGAAUUUUAUGGAGCCCCUAGCAAGCACAAUAAAUUUGGGAUGAAAUCAAAAAGAGAAAUCAUCGGGGUCUAACUUCAUUAGAUGCUCCCAACAUGUAAUUACUAACUAUUCAUAUUCAAUCAAGAUAUGUUAUCAUCAACCCACAAAAUUAUUCAAGCAUUAAUCCCUUAAGAGAAAGAAGCUAAAUCUCUUGAUUCAACUAUCAAUCUCUUGGAUGAGUGUAACCAAUGUACUUGCAUUAAGAAAAAUGGUUUAUCAAUGACCAAUUCUCUAUACCCGUGUUCAGAGGCAUAAAAAGGAUGGUUUGCCUUAUUCAAUUUGCAAUUAAAAAGAAUUUAUGAAUUACAAUUGAAAUAAUAUGAUCACACAAUUAGUUUGCCUAGACCAAAAACAAACAUUAAGCAUAGAAGAAGAAUAACAAUCUUUAUCGUAUAAGAAUAAAAUAUAAUUACAUGAAUGUAGUAGUCUAAUUACAUUAAACCCCAACAAGAAUGAAAUUAGCUAAUCACAACCAUGGAGAAAGAAAUUUUGAUAAAGAAAAAAUGAGGAAGAGUUGCAAGACAUAGACACCACUAAGAACUUUCUUGUUGACGAAAAAAAAACCCAAGAACUUUCUCUUUUCAUUACAUGUUUAAAAAUAGCAUCUUAUAACAAUUGGGCUUUUUCUUAAAGUGGACUUUCUUCUUAGUAAAGUGAGCUUAAGGCUCACCACUUAGGGGGCAUAAACUUGAAUUAGUUUAAGGGAAUUGCUACGCACACCAUUCAUUUUGCUGGUACACCCAACAUAACAUAUAUAAUUCCCAUAUUGCCCUUUUGUAAUUGGUUUGCAAUGCAAGAUAUGCAUACCAUUCUUUCAUAAGAGACAAUAAUACUUGUAACAGCCGUAACUUUAAUAAGUAAAUAAGAAAAUAAUAAAUUAAUACAUAAAUAAAUAAGAAAAAAUAAAAUAAAAAUUAUUAGGUCAUAAAUUCCCACUAUAUAAGCCAAAUGUUAACCUAGAGCAGCUUUUUGGAAAACACAUUCUGUUCCUUUCUUCUUUUCUGACGCACAAGAACCCUAACAGAGCAAUCAGAGGAGGAGCUCUAGAGAGCACCAGAGACGCCACCAUUGCUAACAGAGAACAUUUAAGCGACUACCUCGAGGUAAGGGAUGAGUUACUCACGCUUGGGGAUUAGAAUGAACAUGUGUAGGGAUUCCUAGAGGAUCAAUUUUUGGGUUAUUUUGGGGUGUUUAUGAAUUUAAUUAUGUUUUCAUGUUUAAUCGCGGAUUGAGUGUGUUUGAUGAACCAAUUGGUGUUCUGUUGCGAGUUUGUUGUAGAAUUGAUGUGUUCUGAUGCGAGUUUGUUGUAGGAUUGAUGUGUUUCUGUGUUAGGUGUGUACCUUAGGAAUUAUAAUUCUUUAUAAUUAGCAUAAAAAUUGUGUGGUGGUGAUUUUGUUUAUACCAGAUAUGUUGGCCUUUCAAUCUUGUUCCUGUGCUAAUGUAUAUUGUGUCCAAAUAAUUAUUUUUACACCGCAGUGUAUACGUGUACAUAUAUAUUGAUACUGUUUUUUUUUUACAAACUGUAUAUUUUAUUUCACGUGGGUGAUUUCUUGUCAUGAAAUUCAUAGGUGUAGGGAUUGUUGGAUAAUUGAAUUGGCUAAAAUCAUUUAAAGAAAUUAACUAAAGUUGUAUUCACAUUGUAAUUAGGCAUUUUCUUGAUGUUAGUAACUUAGUUGAAAUAUAUUUAAAAUAUAGGUAUACAUGUUGUUCAUAGAAAUCAAUAUGAGUAUAUAUUUUAUUGUUAUAUAUAAUUUGUAUUUACUUAAUAAUAUAUUUGAUAUUAUUGUGAUUACUUUAUAUUAAUAUAUAAUUAAUACUUUUUAUAUGUUAUAUAUAAUAUGUACAUUUACGUUUACGUUAAUAUAUAUUUUGUUAUACAUUUUGAAUAUAAUAUACUUAUAUAUAUAUUUUACGUGUAUUUUAUAGUUACUUGUUUAUAAGCCUUGAAGUUAAAUAUUGUAUGUUAUUAUUAUUAUGAUACAUUGUUAUCUAAUUGUUGAGUAUAUUUUGUAAUUAGUUAGAGUGUGAAAUGUUAAACUGUAGACAUGAAACAUGGUUGUGAAUGAGUGUGUGAUUGAUAUUUGUAGUGAUAUUACUUGUCAUGUGAGUUAUGAGUUAUACAGUAACCCGCCCAGUGUGUACCUUGAGAGAACUUUUAUGCGCAAUGUUAAAGAAAAUUGUAGGAUUCCUAGUUAGGAUCCUGAAGGGUUAAACUAUGGCACAAUUUGUUAAAUAUGUUUGAAAUAUAAGAGUAAGGUCGUGGGUAUGAUAUAACUCAUAAACAGUGUCUGCGUGCAAAUAAAAAAAAUAUUUUAGGGGUUGGACCUGAAUCAGGAAGGUGAGGCCCAAACGGAUUCUUCGGAGUCUAGGCCUUGGGGGUAAAGAUACUCGGUUUGAGUGCUCCUUUAAGCCCAUGUUGAUCCCAUGUGGUUGGGGCAUUCUCGCAAAACAGAGUAACCAUGACUGGUCACCUUAUGAUGUUACUUAGUGAGAGUGACCGAGUAUACCCAUUGUGUGGUGUGCUUUAUCAUGUACUCCUAAGCGCCCCAGUGUUGUUUUUCACUGACAUGGUACCACAUUGCAUAUAGGCUUGAGUCUUAGUAUAAUUGUUGCAUAACGCUUGUGUUUGAAUUUCAUUGAGUUAACAAUUGUGGUUGAUGUUAUUUUAUGGAGUGUGUAAACUUGAAUGGGUGUGAAUAAUGUGUGCGAUUUUGUGCAGUAAUGCUAUUUAUAUAAAUUCAGCUUUAAGUAUUAUAUGUUUCACAUGCUCUAAUGUUUUAUUAUAUACGAAUGUGAUAACUCACUCCCGGUGUGUGUUUGUGUUUGGGCUGAUUGCCACUUUGUUUUAGGUGAGCCUUCAUAUGAUGAGUCACAUGCUAGAGAUGGAGAGACUUAGUCUGUGAUAGGGAUUAUGAUUUACUGAAUGAUAUAAUUGCGUUAUACUUUUCUACUUUAGAUUUUUUAUUUAUUUAGAGUGGACGGCCUUGUUUUGAGCCGGGAUAAUCUUAUCUUUUAUUAAAAAAAGUAAUAUUCUAUUAUGUUUUCACUAAGUGGAUGUGAACCUUUAUCCUUUUGAAUUGAUUAAAUUAAAUGCGUUUAAAAAGAAAAAUUAUUAAUUAAUUUUGCAUGUUUUUUUUUCCUUCUUUUAUUAUUAUGUGUUUAUAAUCUUUUAAUUAAAUUUUGUAUGAUUUAUUUAAUUAGUUAGUUAUAAUUGUAAGGGUAGAGGGUGUCACAAUACUAAAAUACAACAACUAAUGAAGCUUCUUGAAUGAAAUCAGCAUAUUCAUUGACAUAGAUUGAAUGAUGAAGAUGUUGUACGUGAUAUAUUUUGGAGUCAUCCUGAUAUAGUCAAAUUAUCCAAUGUUUGUAAUUUGGUAUUUCUCAUAGAUAGUACCUACAAAACAAACAGGUACAGGUUGUUGUUACUUGACAUUGUUGGUGUAACCCCAACAAGGAUGAUUUAGCAUUGAUGAAUGCAGUGUAAACUAUUUUUCCUGAUACUACAAAUUUGUUGUGUCGAUUUCACAUUGAUAAGAAUGUGAAGGCAAAUUGUAAAACUUUGGUUGGUCCAAAACAUGCAUGGGAUUAUGUCAUGGAAGCCUGGAGGAGUUUGGUGGAUUGUACUUCUGAGCAAGAGUUCGAUGAGUGCCUUUUGAAGUUUGAAAUUGCUUGCUCACCAUGGUCAAUGUUUGUUGACUAUGUCAAGCAAACAUGGUUGAUUUCUCAUAAAGAAAGAUUUGUUAAAGCUCGGACGAAUAAGCUAGGUGAUGCAUUUAGGAAACACAACAACUAACAAGUAUGAAAGUUGUAAAUAUUUAUUGUUGUUAGGGUUUAGGAUCUAACAGAUAAAAAUAAUUGUUUUUGUUUACUUGUUUGUGUAUUUCAAAUGCAAGUUUGAGUCUUCUCAUUGGGCCUUAAAGAGACAACUGUAGAAUAGCCUUGGAGACCUAUGUAGUGUUUGAGAAGCCAUGAACAACAUGAUCACACUGCAACACAUAGAAAUUAAGGCAUAUUCUGAGACAUGUACACAUGUGGUUGGACAUGUUCUUAAAGUUACCUUACAUAAGAAACUACUUGGCAUGGUAUCAAUGUAUGCUUUAAAUCAGAUUGUUGCAGAGUUUGAGCGUGUAAGUAGAAUGCAGUAGUGAAGGAUUGAACACACUUUGUUGAUGAGGUUGACAACACACUUUGUUGAUUUAGGGGAAGAUUGAACAUUUAGUUAUUGUUAAGACAAUAUUUGUAAUGUACAUAGUUGUGACAUACUUACGGGGUUAUCAUGUAAUAUGAUAAUUAACGCGUGUUUCAUUGGACAUUCAUAUAAUUAUUUAUUUUACUUAAUUAUCGACAAUGCAAAUAAUCAUAUUAGAAAAAAAAACAUCAAACGGUAUAUAAUUAUUUAUGUUUUAGGAUUUUUAUUUAGGGUUAUUAGAAAUUAAAUUGAAUUAGGAUUUAGGAUUUAGGGUUUUAGUUUUGACGAAUUAUGUAUUUUGGGAUGCGGGAUUAAAUAAUUUGGUUUAAGGUUUAACAUAAUAAUCUACUUAGGUCAAUAAUUUAAUAUUCACAUACUACAUAAACGAAAAUAAAUAAAAAGCUUAACAAAUAACACUAAAUAACAAACAUUGUUCAGUCAUAUUGCAUACAUAAAUCCUAUGAAACCUAAAAAAUCCUAACAAUCUUCAUGUGUCUAGUGUACGCCGCCUUCAUCUCGAUCAAACAUAUACAUUGCCUUACGCAGUCACACCCCUGGCGAUCCUUAGGCCCUCCUCGAUCACAGUGUAUGCUUCAGUUCCUUCAGUGACUAUCCUUAUGUUGAUCAAGCAUUCCAACCUUUAUGUUAUUGCAUGACAAGCCUCCUAUGACAUUGACAACAAGCUAAACAGUAAAAAUUUAAUGCAUGACACAUAAAAUGACUACAACAGUGAGAAUUCAAAAUAUUUUAUACCAAUGCAUGUCGAGGCAUGUCUACAUCAACAAGUGUAGCUGCAAGUGGUUUUGGCAUAGAUGUUGUGGCGACCGGUUGCUGAGGAGGAUCUGGUUCAAUAAAUGUAUCAUCGUGAACCAUAGGUGGAUGUCUAGGAGGAUCCCUAGGCUGUGUCGGACUCAUGAAGGAAUGAGAUAUCAUGUAAAACCACUCCAUGUAGUCUACUGCACACUAUCCUGGAGCAACACAAAUUUGACCCACUAGUGCAAGGUAUUCAAAAAAGUGCAUCCAUCUAUCGUCAAUCUCCUUUAUAAAUAAAUAUGGGGCAGCAGAGGUUGGAGGAAUGGUUUGCACAUAACCAAACUAUCGCACAAUCCUCUAUGGUUGGUGUAUGACAAUAGAUGAACCCAUCUGAUUUGUCCACAAAAUAAUGAGAUCAACUCAAAAUUCUCUGAAUGCACGGUGGUCACCAUAAGGAAUCUAGCACAUAGCAUCGGAUGUCAAUCUAUCCAACCGCUUAUGAUACAUCGACAUUGUUAAUGCCUUCCCAGACUUCCAACGGCAUGCACAUAGUUUUCUCUCAUGAUAAUCUUCAUCAGCAAAGUAAUGGCUUACACCAUAUAUUAGUAGAAUGCAAUAGUGGUAAUCUGUAUGGAUUAUAUGGAUUGUUAAACCUUAUAAUCCAUAAGAAUUUCUAAUCCGUAUGCAUUGUACGGAUUGUUAAUCCUUAUAAUGACUACACAAUCCCAUUUUCAAUGAAGAGUGGAAAAGAGGAACUUACGACAAAGGCGAACGCGACAACGGUGGUGGGGACUGGCGACAAGGCAUGAAUGGAGGCACGAAUGGCAACGGUAGGAACAACAUAUUGAGAAAAAAAACCCAAGUCCCACAUUGACUAGAGAUAGUGUCAAGAUAGAGUAUAUAAGGUGAGGGCAAUCCUCACCCUGUGAGCUAGCUUUUAGGGUUGAAUUAGGCUCCAGUUUUCUACUUAGCAUCAGAGCCUAUCCUAGAUCUAUUGAAAGGACCACACACCAAGCCCAAAAAGUGUUGGGCGUGAGGGGGUGUAUUGAGAAAAAAACCCAAGUCCCACAUUGACUAGAGAUAGUGUCAAGAUAAAGUAUAUAAGGUGAGGACAAUCCUCACCCUGUGUGCUUGGAUUUUUUUUUUUCAACGCGUACAAACAGGGAGAGGAAAGGGUGACCUUAUUAAAAUUUUAAGUGAAAGAGAAUUUCGUCACUUCACUUAAAAUAUUGGAUACACAAGAAAUUGUGUUGGAUGCACCUAACAAAACUCUUCAUUUUUUUUCUUCCGGUGUAGGCUUAAGGUGGUGGGCUUAAAAAUUUUUGUUAGGAAAUCCCAUAAUCUUUUUUUUCUUCUACAUUGAUGACAAUGCUUUUCAACUCUUUUUCAAUUGAGUCUUUCAAUAAUUCCCUUACAAAAUAUAAACAAAUAAUCCAAUAUCAUAUCAAGCAUAAAAGUGAAAAACAGAACAUCCUAAUUAAACUAAUUAACUUUAUCUAAAAGAUAGGUUGUUUUCAUUUUUAUAAGAUGACAACUGGUAACAUUUAAAUAAUUCUAUUAAACAUGUGUUUUAAUACUUUGAUUUCUUUAAAUACGUAAAUAAAAAAUUAAAAUAUAUCAAUUUAACUUUUGAUAAAAGUGAUUAAGAUCACAAUACAUAUGUCAUUAAACACAUUGCAAUACUUAUUUUAUAUAAUAAUAUUAGAUUAUUUCCCGUUAGAAAAACAAGACCAUGAAUUGAUUCAUACAAAGUAAACCAAAUCUAGUUAAAAUAUUAUGGAAAUAAGUGUGAAUCAACAAUCCAAGCAUCGAUCACCAGUUUAACUAAAGGCAUGUUUAGAACUAACGAAUAACGACAAUAUAUAUUGUUGUUACCGUAUAUUUAUGUCAUUCUAGUUAUUUACUCAUGACCUGUUAGCUUUAUGAUACUAUUAUUUCUUACUAUAUUAAUAUUUCCCUUUUUUAUAUUUUGAUUUUCCAUGUAAGUAUUUGUUUAUCAGGGGUCUCUCUUUGCAACUAACACACACCUAUUACUAAAAUGUAGGUUCAGUAAAGGUAGUUUUGAAAAGAAAAGUCGCAUAACAUGGUUACAUUAAUACAUAUGUAAUACAUCACAACAACAUAAUCACUACAUUAUGAUGCCAUUAAGGUAGAUCACAAUUUCAAACAUAGAGAAAUACAUUGUAGGCUGAUAUAGUACAUCAGAUGCAAUAUGGAAAUGCCUACUUAUUUAAGGACACACUAACAAAUAAAGACUUAAGUAACCUAUUUGGCAAACCAGAGAAGGUGGCCCUCAGGGAAGAUGUGACACACUGGAGCAGCUCCAGGCUUGGUUUUAAGCAUUUGUAAAAACACAUGGUUUGGAUCCCAUUCUGAUGUGUCUUUGUGGCAUACAGCUGCAGCUUUAACUCUGGUUCCAUCUUCUCCCUCCAAAGGCAUAAAAUGCGCAGUAGUAUUUGAUAUCUCAUGACACAUAAACACAACAUAUGGGUAAUCCAUAGGAUGACAAACAAUGACCUUAUCUUCUGCUAACAACUUCACUCCAUCUUUCACCGAGAAUUUUUGGGACUUACUUUCCUUUUCUGCUUCUGUAGAAAUAACUCGAGCAUUCUUCCCAAGCUUAGAAGUGACAAAAUCUACCAUGGACUCUAAUGAAGUUGCACAAUAUCUUUCUUCUCCAGUUAUUGCAGGCACUUCACACAUACUAAUGGUUUCCUCUAGAAUCUUAACAUUCUCUGGCUCUGGGUUCACAAAAAGCAUCUCAACUAUUUCUUUUAUCUUUGCUGAUGACAACGGUAUAUGUUGUGCAAUUUGGCGAGGCAACAAUGGGGUUACAUUUUCUCUUUUCUUGAAGUGAGCAUCCAAUUUUGUGCCAGGCCUUAAUCCUUCUUCAAAGAAAACUUGGUCUGCUUUUGGGAUGUCAUGUUGAUGACCAUUAGCAACAAGGAUCGUUUCAUCUUCUUGUGAAAGACUUCUUUUUGCAACAUAGGUUUUCUUAACACCGUACCAAAGAGGAGGUUGAUCUUCGGAUUGAGUUUUCUUAAUACCGUACCAAAAAAUAGGAACUUGAUCUUCGGAUUGGGUUUUCUUAGCACCAUAUAAAAAAAGAGGAGUUUGAUCUGUUGAUUGGAUUUUCUUAGCACCAUAAAAGAUAGGAACUUGAUCUGUUGAUUGAGUUUUCUUAGCACCAUAAAAGAUAGGAACUUGAUCUGUUGAUUGGGUUUUCUUAGCACCAUAAAAAAAAGGAGGAACUUGAUCUGUUGAUUGGGUUUUCUUAGCACCAUAAGAAAAAAAAGGAGGAAUUUGAUCUGUUGAUUGGGUUUUCUUAGCACCAUAAGAAAAAAAAGGAGGAAUUUGAUCUGUUGAUUGGGUUUUCUUAGCACCAUAAAAGAUAGGAGGAACUUCAUCUGUUGAUUGGAUUUUCUUAGCACCAUAAAAGUAUGGAGGAACUUCAUCUGUUGAUUGGGUUUUCUUAGCACCAUAAAAGAUAGGAGGAACUCCAUCUAUUGAUUGAGUUUUCUUAGCACCAUAAAAGAUAGGAGGAACUUCAUCUGUUGAUUGGGUUUUCUUAUCACCAUAAAAGAUAGGAGGAACUUGAUCUGUUGAUUGGGUUUUCUUAGCAUCAUACAGGAAUAUUUGAUCUGUAGAUUGGGUUUCCUUAGCAC